UACGAGGGGGGCAAAUGUUGUUCGGAAUCACUGGGCGUAAAGGGAGCGUAGGCGGGCUUUUAAGUUAGGUGUUUAAUCCCGGGGCCCAACCCCGGACAGGCACCUAAAACUGGGAGUCUUGAAUAGUGGAGAGGUCGGCGGUAUUGGGGGUGUAGCGGUGGAAUGCGUAGAGAUCCCCAAGAACACCAGUUGCGAAGGCGGCCGACUGGACACAUAUUGACGCUGAGGCUCGAAAGCAUGGGGAGCAAACAGG
rnacentral:rRNA from 1 species